UACGUAGGGGGCAAGCGUUGUCCGGAAUUAUUGGGCGUAAAGAGCGUGUAGGCGGCUCGAUAAGUCUGCUGUGAAAGUCCAGGGCUCAACCCUGGAAGGCCGGUGGAAACUGUCGGGCUAGAGUCCGGAAGAGGCGAGUGGAAUUCCCGGUGUAGCGGUGAAAUGCGCAGAUAUCGGGAGGAACACCAAUGGCGAAGGCAGCUCGCUGGGACGGUACUGACGCUGAGACGCGAAAGCGUGGGGAGCAAACAGG
rnacentral:rRNA from 1 species